rnacentral:rRNA from 1 species
AUGCUUCCCCUUUCCACUUGUAUGAGACAUGGUUGCUACCUAAUGCAAAGACGCUACAUGUGCUUAGGAACCGAGGAGACGACCAUGGAGAUGCUCGAGGCAUACGCCAAGUCCACGCGGAAGCGGAUCAAGAAGUGCCUCAAGUGGAGUCGCCGCGGAGCUACAGCGGUCGGACAUCCGGCAGGAGCCCGGACAUCCGGCGCCACCAACCAGAAGAAGACCAGAGAGACAGAAGCCAGGCGACUCUACAGCGGCCGGACAUCUGGCCGAACCCCGGACAUCCGGCGCCCUGCGACGGGCCGGACAUCCGGCGCAUGCUAUCCAAAGAGCAGAAGAAUCGGCCACUCCAGCCCGGACAUCCAGCCCAAGGCCCGAACAUCCAGCUCCCCGUGA